GAUGUACUCCCUCCGUCCCAAAAUUCUUGUCUUAGAUUUGUCUAAAUACGGAUGUAUCAAGUCACGUUUUAGUAUUAGAUACAUCCAUGUCCAGACAAGUUUAAGACAAGAAUUUUGGGACAGAGGGAGUAUCAU
rfam:Triticum aestivum genome assembly, contig: Triticum_aestivum_CS42_TGACv1_scaffold_513562_6BS